AACGGAUAUCUCGGCUCUCGCCACGAUGAAGAAUGUAGCGAAAUGCGAUACUUAGUGUGAAUUGCAGAAUCCCGUGAAUCAUCAAGUCUUUGAACGCAAGUUGCGCCCGAGGCCUCGGCCAAGGGCACGUCUGCUUGGGCGUCGCACUCCAAAAUCGCCCUCCUUCGC
rnacentral:rRNA from 1 species